rnacentral:misc_RNA from 1 species
AUGAAGAACGUAGCGAAAUGCGAUACUUGGUGUGAAUUGCAGAAUCCCGUGAACCAUCGAGUUUUUGAACGCAAGUUGCGCCCGAAGCCGUUAGGCGGAGGGCACGCCUGCCUGGGUGUCACACAUCGUUGCCCCAAUGCCAAUCGCCUCACUUUGUAGGUAUUUGCUUGGGGUGAAUGUUGGCCUCCCGUGAGCUUUGUCUCACGGUUGGUUGAAAAUCGAGUGCAUGGUGUCGGGUGUACCAUGAUGGAUGGUGGUUGAGUGAUGAUGCUCGGUGACCCACAUGCGUCCCUUGGAUGCUCCCUAAGGAGACCUCAGGUCAGGCGGGGCUACCCGCUGAGUUUAAGCAUAUCAAUAAGCGGAGGA